AUUGAACGCUGGCGGCAUGCUUUACACAUGCAAGUCGAGCGGCAGCGCGGGGGCAACCCUGGCGGCGAGCGGCGAACGGGUGAGUAAUGCAUCGGAACGUAUCCUCGAGUGGGGGAUAACCCAGCGAAAGUUGGGCUAAUACCGCAUGAGCUCUGAGGAGGAAAGCGGGGGACCUGCGAGGGCCUCGCGCUGGAGGAGCGGCCGAUGUCCGAUUAGCUAGUUGGUGGGGUAAAGGCUUACCAAGGCGACGAUCGGUAGCUGGUCUGAGAGGAUGAUCAGCCACACUGGCACUGAGACACGGCCCAGACUCCUACGGGAGGCAGCAGUGGGGAAUUUUGGACAAUGGGGGCAACCCUGAUCCAGCCAUGCCGCGUGAGUGAAGAAGGCCUUCGGGUUGUAAAGCUCUUUCGGACGGAACGAAAUGGGCGGGACUAAUACUCCUGUCUGAUGACGGUACCGUAAGAAGAAGCACCGGCUAACUACGUG
rnacentral:rRNA from 1 species